CAGUUCAAUUCUAUUCAGUUCUAUUCUCUAUUUUAUUCUAUUUUCUAUAUUCUACUUUAUUUGCUAUAUUCUAUUCUAUUUUAUUUACUCUACUCUACUCUACUCUACUCUACUCUACUUACCAAAACAUCCCCAUAGAACAAGGAAUCAACAAAACCAUGCAAGGGAAGUUGUCUGGAUGGUGCUACCUUGCAGGGAAAGUGUUAGCAAGGAGCCAUCGUGGUUGGCUGAAGCUGAGAAGGGGUUUGUUCACCAGUAACGCAAACCUGGGUCCUGCAGAAAAAGACUCCAAGAGUCAUCAGCUUCUCAAGGAGUGGGCCUUGACCGUCAGCCCUUUCGGUCUUCUGAAGGCCCGUCUCCCUUACCACAUAACCGUGGGUCCCCUGGACGCCCAUAAGUACCCCGAUUCUGACAAGGUGUUUCUGGCCCUGAAGGGGAAGGGUUUGAAUCCCGACCCUGCCUCGCAUCUGCUUGUGAACUACGACGAGGCCCGGAAGGAGGUGGUGAUCGUCUCUGAUGACGUGGACGGUGCAGCUUCUCUGGAUGUGAGGAUGCCGGUAAAAUUUGACUUGGAUAUCAAGACCUCAGGAAACGGCUGUGUGAAGAUUGAACAGAUGGAGAGCACUAACUGCCGAGUAGAAACAGAGAAGGGUGCGAGUGUAUUGAAGUCAAUAAAGAGUCAGAAAAUUGAUAUCCGGGCAAAAGGAGGGGACGUGAUCUGCUUGGGAAGUCUUCAAGGAAAUAUCAAUAUUCUUGUGUCACAAGAAAGUGGUGUGAACGCAGAAAAGCUCCAAGGAUCAUCUAUUAACAUUGCGAGUGAGAACGGUCUGCUCAAAGCUAAAUAUUUGUACGCGGACUCUUCGUUUCUGACUUCAGCGGCUGGCGACAUUUUACUGGGGACCGUCCAUGGGGAUAGUACCUUGGAGACUAAAACAGGGAGCAUCACCGUUGAUUCCUCCGAAGGAUCUUUAAAAGCCUGUACAUAUCAAGGGGAGAUAGAUGCCUAUGUUCUGCGUCAAACUGGAGCGGUAAACCUGGUUUCCCAGGAAGGCUCCAUUGUUGUCAAGGUACCUGGAACUCUUCAAGCUUCCCUGAAAUUAUCCGGAACGAAGGUGGAAAUCAGUCCAGAAAUCCAAUUGCAGGGGAUCCAGACUGUGUUGAGGGAAGACUGUGUCACAGUGACUGGCCACCUGGAUCAAAAGGAUGAGAAAGGGAAAUGCAUUAAAGCGGAGACACAGCGAGGCACAAUAACUCUCAAAAUGCAAAGCUGGUUCCAGUCUUUGAAGCUGAAUAUUCCUUGAUAAUACUUCCUUUUUUAAAUAUAGACAGAACAAUGAAAGGGGAUUGCUUGUAUUUCUUGAUAAAGAAAGGAUCUUCUGCCAGGCUUCCCGGCGAGAUCAAACUUUCUUCCACGGCUUGUUCGGUUACGGUUUCAAUCAGCGGAAGCUUGGCGUGUUCCAGGUCUUUCUGUCCCGAAAUCCCCACGAUGCUGGGUC